rnacentral:lncRNA from 1 species
GGGACUAUAGGCACAUGCCACCAUGCCCGGCUAAUUCUUAUAUUUUUAGUAGAGAUGGGGUUUCACCAUGUUGGCCAGGCUGGUCUCAAACUCUUGGCCUCAAGUGACCUACCCGCCUCAGCGUCCCAAAUUGCUGGGAUUACAGGCUGAGCCACUGCGCCCGGCCAUAUCACACUUUAUAACCUGGGCAUGCAGGCCAAUUCCAACGUCUUCCAUUCAUCUGCUGAUGGUCUUAAGAUUCCAAGGGCAGCACCCUUAGCCCUUGCUCUUGGGGAGAAGAACUCACAGCACACCUCUCUCCAAAAAGAUCUUCUCUCUUGGCUGGUCAAAGUGCAGUGCUGUUUUCAAACAAUUUAUCACAACCAGUUACAAAUGUCUUUGUUCCUUCUCUACUCCCACUGCUUCACUCAACUAGCCUAAAAAAAGAAAAUAAAUUUAAAAAAAAAAAACAAAGAUAUCUUCUCUCCAAAGUUAAUUCUCUCUCCCUGUAAUUUCCAACAACUCUGCCAUUUUAUACAACUUUG